CGAAGUCGAUAUUUCGAAAACUGCGGCACUAGUUAACCGGACAAAAAACAGGUGGAAUAAUAAUAAUAACUAGAUUGCAGUUCCUACAGAAACUGCGAGUGUGAUUGCAGUGCUGGCUGGUAUCUGCUAUGGUGUUGCUAAGGUGUUGCUAUGGUAUCCGGGGUGGUUGCUAAGGUGUUGCUAGGUGGUUGCUAAGGUGUUGCUAGCCGGUUGCUAAGGUGUUGCUAUGGUAUCCGGGGUGGUUGCUAAAGUGUUGCUAGGUGGUUGCUAGGGUGUUGCUAGGCGGUUGCUAAGGUGUUGCUAUGGUACCCGGGGUGGUUGCUAAGGUGUUGCUAGGUGGUUGCUAGGUGGUUGCUAAGGUGUUGCUAGCCGGUUGCUAAGGUGUUGCUAUGGUAUCCGGGGUGGUUGCUAAGGUGUUGCUAGGUGGUUGCUAGGUGGUUGCUAGGGUGUUGCUAGGCGGUUGCUAAGGUGUUGCUAUGGUAUCCGGGGUGGUUGCUAAGGUGUUGCUAGGUGGUUGCUAGGGUGUUGCUAGGCGGUUGCUAAGGUGUUGCUAUGGUAUCCGGGGUGGUUGCUAAGGUGUUGCUAGGUGGUUGCUAGGUGGUUGCUAGGGUGUUGCUAGGCGGUUGCUAAGGUGUUGCUAUGGUAUCCGGGGUGGUUGCCAAGGUGUUGCUAGGUGGUUGCUAGGGUGUUGCUAGGCGGUUGCUAAGGUGUUGCUAUGGUACCCGGGGUGGUUGCUAAGGUGUUGCUAGGUGGUUGCUAGGUGGUUGCUAAGGUGUUGCUAGCCGGUUGCUAAGGUGUUGCUAUGGUAUCUGGGGUGGUUGCUAAGGUGUUGCUAGAUGGUUGCUAGGUGCUUGCUAUGGUGUUGCUAGGCGGUUGCUAAGGUGUUGCUAUGGUAUCCAGGGUGGUUGCUAAGGUGUUGCUAGGUAGUUGCUAGGUGGUUGCUAGGGUGUUGCUAGGCGGUUGCUAAGGUGUUGCUAUGGUAUCCGGGGUGGUUGCUAUGGUGUUUCUAGGUGGUUGCUAGGUGAUGUAUAUGCAUAAAUUAGAUUAAAUGGUGUUUGCACGUUGCGUUGCUCUGGCCGUUCGGGGGUGUCCAAACUUUUGACCCGUGGCUCCAUUACACACAGUACUGGGGGGCCGGGGUGUCCAAACUUUUGACCCAUGGCUCCAUUACACACAGUACUGGGGGGGGGCCGGGGUGUCCAAACUUUUGACCUAACGCUGAUUUAUCCCAUAGCUGCUCCAUACACUCACAGUACUGGAGUUCUAGCUACCUGUCCUUCGAUCUAGCUGCCGUCCUCCGAUUGGCCCCAUUCAU